GGCCCGGUAGUUUAGUGGUUAGAAUUCAGGGUUUUCAUUCCUGCGGUCGGAGUUCGAUUCUCCGUCGGGCUACCA
rnacentral:tRNA from 1 species